rnacentral:rRNA from 1 species
GGUUAAGCGACUAAGCGUACACGGUGGAUGCCCUGGCAGUCAGAGGCGAUGAAGGACGUGCUAAUCUGCGAAAAGCGUCGGUAAGGUGAUAUGAACCGUUACAGCCGGCGAUGUCCGAAUGGGGAAACCCAGUGCAAUUCGUUGCACUAUCGUUAACUGAAUACAUAGGUUAACGAGGCGAACCGGGGGAACUGAAACAUCUAAGUACCCCGAGGAAAAGAAAUCAACCGAGAUUCCCCCAGUAGCGGCGAGCGAACGGGGAGCAGCCCGGAGUCUGAAUCAGCUUGUGUGUUAGUGGAAGCGUCUGGAAAGUCGCAGGGUACAGGGUGAUACUCCCGUACACUAAAACACACAGGUUGUGAACUCGAAGAGUAGGGCGGGACACGUGGUAUCCUGUCUGAAUAUGGGGGGACCAUCCUCCAAGGCUAAAUACUCCUGACUGACCGAUAGUGAACCAGUACCGUGAGGGAAAGGCGAAAAGAACCCCGGCGAGGGGAGUGAAAAAGAACCUGAAACCGUGUACGUACAAGCAGUAGGAGCCCCACCACCAAAGCGUUUCGCUUUGCGUGGUGCGCAAAAUGCGUAACGACAGCAUGAUGGACGGUUAACGGAGCGUCAGCGACGUUCAACCUCAAAAAUCAGGCAGUGGAGCGUUUUGGGGUGGGGUGACUGCGUACCUUUUGUAUAAUGGGUCAGCGACUUAUAUUCUGUAGCAAGGUUAACCGUAUAGGGGAGCCGCAGGGAAACCGAGUCUUAACUGGGCGUUAAGUUGCAGGGUAUAGACCCGAAACCCGGUGAUCUAGCCAUGGGCAGGUUGAAGGUUGGGUAACACUAACUGGAGGACCGAACCGACUAAUGUUGAAAAAUUAGCGGAUGACUUGUGGCUGGGGGUGAAAGGCCAAUCAAACCGGGAGAUAGCUGGUUCUCCCCGAAAGCUAUUUAGGUAGCGCCUCGUGAAUUCAUCUUCGGGGGUAGAGCACUGUUUCGGCUAGGGGGUCAUCCCGACUUACCAACCCGAUGCAAACUACGAAUACCGAAGAAUGUUAUCACGGGAGACACACGGCGGGUGCUAACGUCCGUCGUGAAGAGGGAAACAACCCAGACCGCCAGCUAAGGUCCCAAAGUCAUGGUUAAGUGGGAAACGAUGUGGGAAGGCCCAGACAGCCAGGAUGUUGGCUUAGAAGCAGCCAUCAUUUAAAGAAAGCGUAAUAGCUCACUGGUCGAGUCGGCCUGCGCGGAAGAUGUAACGGGGCUAAACCAUGCACCGAAGCUGCGGCAGCGACACUAUGUGUUGUUGGGUAGGGGAGCGUUCUGUAAGCCGUUGAAGGUGGCCUGUGAGGGUUGCUGGAGGUAUCAGAAGUGCGAAUGCUGACAUAAGUAACGAUAAUGCGGGUGAAAAACCCGCACGCCGGAAGACCAAGGGUUCCUGUCCAACGUUAAUCGGGGCAGGGUGAGUCGACCCCUAAGGCGAGGCCGAAAGGCGUAGUCGAUGGGAAACAGGUUAAUAUUCCUGUACUUGGUGUUACUGCGAAGGGGGGACGGAGAAGGCUAUGUUGGCCGGGCGACGGUUGUCCCGGUUUAAGCAUGUAGGCGGAUGUUCCAGGUAAAUCCGGAACGUUAUUAACGCUGAGGUGUGAUGACGAGGCACUACGGUGCUGAAGUGACAAAUGCCCUGCUUCCAGGAAAAGCCUCUAAGCAUCAGGUAACAUCAAAUCGUACCCCAAACCGACACAGGUGGUCAGGUAGAGAAUACCAAGGCGCUUGAGAGAACUCGGGUGAAGGAACUAGGCAAAAUGGUGCCGUAACUUCGGGAGAAGGCACGCUGAUGGUAGGUGAAGUGACUUGCUCAUGGAGCUGAAAUCAGUCGAAGAUACCAGCUGGCUGCAACUGUUUAUUAAAAACACAGCACUGUGCAAACACGAAAGUGGACGUAUACGGUGUGACGCCUGCCCGGUGCCGGAAGGUUAAUUGAUGGGGUUAUCCUCGCGGAGAAGCUCUUGAUCGAAGCCCCGGUAAACGGCGGCCGUAACUAUAACGGUCCUAAGGUAGCGAAAUUCCUUGUCGGGUAAGUUCCGACCUGCACGAAUGGCGUAAUGAUGGCCAGGCUGUCUCCACCCGAGACUCAGUGAAAUUGAACUCGCUGUGAAGAUGCAGUGUACCCGCGGCAAGACGGAAAGACCCCGUGAACCUUUACUAUAGCUUGACACUGAACACUGGUCCUUGAUGUGUAGGAUAGGUGGGAGGCUUUGAAGUGUGGACGCCAGUCUGCAUGGAGCCAUCCUUGAAAUACCACCCUUUAAUGGCUGGUGUUCUAACGUGGGCCCGUGAUCCGGGUUGCGGACAGUGUCUGGUGGGUAGUUUGACUGGGGCGGUCUCCUCCUAAAGAGUAACGGAGGAGCACGAAGGUCAGCUAAUCCUGGUCGGACAUCAGGAGGUUAGUGCAAUGGCAUAAGCUGGCUUGACUGCGAGCGUGACGGCGCGAGCAGGUGCGAAAGCAGGUCAUAGUGAUCCGGUGGUUCUGAAUGGAAGGGCCAUCGCUCAACGGAUAAAAGGUACUCCGGGGAUAACAGGCUGAUACCGCCCAAGAGUUCAUAUCGACGGCGGUGUUUGGCACCUCGAUGUCGGCUCAUCACAUCCUGGGGCUGAAGUAGGUCCCAAGGGUAUGGCUGUUCGCCAUUUAAAGUGGUACGCGAGCUGGGUUUAGAACGUCGUGAGACAGUUCGGUCCCUAUCUGCCGUGGGCGCUGGAGAAUUGAGGGGGGCUGCUCCUAGUACGAGAGGACCGGAGUGGACGCAUCACUGGUGUUCGGGUUGUCAUGCCAAUGGCAUUGCCCGGUAGCUAAAUGCGGAAGAGAUAAGUGCUGAAAGCAUCUAAGCACGAAACUUGCCCCGAGAUGAGUUCUCCCUGACCCUUUAAGGGUCCUGAAGGAACGUUGAAGACGACGACGUUGAUAGGCCGGGUGUGUAAGCGCAGCGAUGCGUUGAGCUAACCGGUACUAAUGAACCGUGAGGCUUAACCUU